CGUUUCCUAUUCCGUUUAUAAGAAGGCCAAAUAUGUUGAAAGUUCAUAUACGUAAUGACUUCGCAGGAUUACUUAAAUAUUUAGAAUAUCUGUAGAAAUGAAAUCGUUCACAUUUUAUAUAUUUUAUAAUAUUUUAACGAAAAUAUUUGCCUUUAAUAUCGAAUCUAGAUUUCCAUUAAUUUUUCAUGGCAGCGAAGAUAGUUAUUUCGGCUAUUCAGUAGCACUUCACGAAAAUAGUCAAGGAAAAAUGGCUUUAAUAACGGCGACUAAAGCAAACUCUACUUUAGUGGAAAGACAAAAGUUACACGAACCUGGAGUUUUAUAUAAAUGUAACAUCAGUUCAUCAGAAUGCCAAGAAAUCCUUUUAAACAAACUAGCCAAUGAAAAUUCUCAAGACAAUUCAAUUAGGUAUCACGCUAAAGAAGAUGAGAUGUGGUUGGGUGUAAGCCUUGAUAUUCAACCGACCGAGGGAAAUAUUGUAACUUGUGGCCAUCUUUGGAAAAAUCAACUUUACAAAACUCAUUACUUAACUAACGGAAUUUGUUAUUUGAUCGAUAAAGAUAUGAGGAAAAAGCAUAAAAAGAAAGUAUUACCUUUUAUAGCAAAAGACAGGCAGAGUUUAGACUCAGGAGCAUAUUAUUACGCUUUUGCUCAAGGAGGAAUGUCAGCAGCUUUUAGCGAGGAUGGUAAAAACUUAUUAAUAGGAUCACCAGGAUUUUACGACUGGAUAGGCACAGUCAUAAAUUAUUUAAUUCCUGAAAAUUAUGAAAAUUUAUUGCCACCAAUUGUUCCGAAUCCACCAAAAGGAGAGCAAACAACCGACUCUUAUAUAGGUUAUUCGGUAACAAGUGGAAAAUUUUUUGAACUAGGAGAAUUGCAGUUUGUAAGUGGAGCACCGAGAGAUGGGCAAUAUAAAGGGCGUAUUUAUAUAUUUGAAAAGUUGGAUAUGAAAAAUCGUAAUAUAAUUGUGCUACAAACAAACGAUGGAGAACAAGUUGGAUCAUAUUUUGGUGCAUCUGUAUUGGGCAUAAAUGUAAAUAAUGACAAAUAUACAGAUCUGUUAGUGGGUGCUCCAUUAUACUCCUAUCCUUCUGGGGGUGACGAAGGAAAAGUAUAUGUGUAUAUUAGUAACGGAAAGGGAUUAGAUGAAACUCAGGCUCUAACGGGUUCUAAAAAGUUUUAUGGUAGAUUUGGCACAGCUAUAGCUAAUGCUGGAGAUUUGAAUCAAGAUGGAUUCUUAGAUGUUGUCAUCGGAGCACCAUACGAAGAAGAGAGAGGUGCUGUGUAUAUCUAUCAUGGAAAUAACAUGGGAAUUAAUUCCGAAUUUUCUCAAAGAAUUACGGCAAAAGAAGUGAAUGCUGCCAUUAAAAGUUCACACUUAUCAGGAUUUGGUAUUUCUAUUUCUAAAGGAAAAGAUAUUGAUGAUAAUAAAUAUCCAGAUAUUCUAGUUGGAUCGUAUCAAUCUGACAAUGCUGCACUCUUUAGAACUCGCCCCAUUGUUCGAAUAUCUGCCAUUAUAACGUUUAAACCGACUCAAAUAAACACAAAUUCAUCAUUUUGCGAAGAUAGCGGCGAAUCGAUACCAUGCUUCAUCAUAUCGUAUUGUUUAAAUUAUACUGGAAAUCACGUGCCUUUAACUCUAAAUGUAUCAACGGAAUUACGUUCUAUGCGUCAAAGAGAAGAAUUAAAGUUCCGAAGAUAUCUUUUAUAUAAAAACAGAUUAUCGUGGAAUCUUCUGGAAACAGUUAAAAUUGAGAAAGAUAAACAAAAAUGCUUCUCUCAGACAGCUUUCGUAAAGGAAGAUAAAGAUGAUUUUAUUACUCCAAUCAAUAUAAAUCUAAGAUUUCGGCUAACAUACAAUGUUUCUAGCGAAACUUCUUUCUGCGAAACCUGCCCUAUUUUGGAUUCAAGUAGUAUUAAUAUUAUUAAUAAAAUAAUCACUUUUCAAACUGGUUGCAGAGAAAGUGACACUUGCAUCUCUGAUUUAGUUGUAAAUGCAACAGUGCUGGACGAAUUCGGUCCCGAAGGUUUAAUACUUGGAAAACAUACAAUCAUUACUUUAUCUGUAGAAGUUUGGAAUCUUAACGAGCCAGCAUACAUGACUGAACUUCAGAUCAUUCUUCCAGAUCAAAUUAAAAUCAUUAACCAAGACAGCUGUAGCCCAGAUGAUGAGCAUAAAGAUAAAAUUUUACUAUGCAAUGUAGGAAACCCAUUAAAGCAAGACCAAAUCGCUAGAUAUAUAAUUAAGCUGGAUGUCUCACAAAUUCCAAAUGAUGUAGACGAAUUAGUAUUUACAUUUACCGCAACUACUGCCAGCGAGGAAGAACAUCCUGAAAAUAACAAUGCCACCAUUGUUCUACCAUUGAAAAUAUCGGCGGAUAUCACUAUUAUAGGGAAUGCAGGAAGAGAACAAAUUCUUUUGGGUAAAGAGCAAGAUAAAUUGGAGAUUGUACCUUUUGAUCACUAUUAUACAGUUCUGAAAUACUUGCCAAGUACAGUAAAUUCAGUAUCCAUACAGCUUUACAUUCCUACGACUUUUCAUGAUAAGAACGUCACAUUUCUACAAUUAACCAGUAUUCUUAUCAACGAAGGAAAAUUGGACGCAGUUCCCGCUAGUUGCAAUGUUACUCAAAUCAAUUUAAAACCCGAAGAAGUGGAUUACGAGAAAAAAGAGACUACGCAUUUAAUUCUAGAGAGUGAAACUGCAAAUACAACUCAAAUUUUGCCAUCCAGAAAAAAGAGAAGCGUAGAUAAGAAUAAUUAUGGCGUAGCGGAAUCGCUGACUAGUGCAAGGAGUGAUCUUUAUAUUAAUUAUGCUCUGAAUUGUACGACUUCCAUUUGCGAGGAAAUUGUAUGCGCUGCUGGUCCUUUUACUAAUAAGAAGAGAAGCGCAACUUUUCACAUCAAAGGAUUUAUUUAUUUUGCACUAUUGCGAAACAAUUUAGUGAGAAACAAUGGGAUAAUAUCACGAUACAGUCAGAAGGUAAAGUACAGAUACAAGAUGAAAAACGAGAUGUCCAACCUAAAAAACAUCAACCGGAUGAAGCUAAAGUAGCAACGAUAUUAGUUCAGUCUGAACCAUUACCAGCUAAAAAGCUACCCACUUGGAUUAUAGCAGUUAGUGUUGGUGUAGGAAUUUUGGUGUUUUUGAUCAUUUUACUAGGACUUAUAAAGUUUGGAUUUUUUAAAAGA
rnacentral:misc_RNA from 1 species